UUUGAGGGAGAUGGGUAUGAAUUAACUGCCUUGGGUCGUAUUCGCAUUAAGAGUGUUGAAAUUCCUUCUCCUACCAAAUCUUUUGAUUGUUCUCUCAAUGGAAGUAGCGAGAGUGAAGAUGAGUUUUAUGACUACACCCCUCUUUUAGAUGGCACACCGACUAAGAUGAGUAAAUCGCCUUCAGCAAAUGUAGCUUUUCCUUCUCCUUCGAACGAGUCAUCCAAGCUAUUAGAGAAAGGCACUGCGCCUCGGACUUCCCCAGCUGCAUCGCAUAUGCCAUUGGCUACCUUUAAGGAUCAUGCCACAUUGCAAAAUCCAUAGUCCACUUGUGGGAAUCACAACUUGUCUCCUCCACCUAGGUCUCUUCAAGCCGUACACCAAGAAAAUACUUCUGACACAUUGGAAGAGACAGACGAAAUUACUUCUGAUACCUCGGAAGAGGCCCAAAUUCUUGCAGACUUACUUGAAGCAAAUGGGGUUAACAAAUUAUUUGACAAACUUGAAGCACCCUUUGCUCCAUCUAACCUCCUUUUGGGAACUUCCUCUAACGAAGCAGCCACCCAUAUUCAGAAAGGUCUUACUAUUUCUCUCCAGUCAAUGACGGAUGUUAAUGGCAUGAUUGCUAUAGCAAACAACGUUUUCAUGAUUUUGAAGAGUUUGGGUGUAGACUUCAUCUCCUUUUAUGAGA